rnacentral:tRNA from 1 species
GCCUUCGUGGUGUAGUGGUCAGCACUCUCGGCGCGUAUUCGAGAGGUCCGUGGUUCGAAUCCCGGCGAAGGCA